ACUGUUGGAACACUACUGUCCUUCUUUUCAUUAAACUUGACAUAUCCAAUUUCAGCAAGUGUUCAUUAUAUGUUUUAGCUUCCAAUCCCC